rnacentral:rRNA from 1 species
UACCCCUGCGUCUAAUUACACAUGCAGUCUGAACGGUAGAGUAGCAUACUCGAGAGUGGCGAACGGGUGAGUAAUAUAUCGGAACGUGCCCAACUGUGGGGGAUAACGUAGAGAAAUUUACGCUAAUACCGCAUACGAUCUAAGGAUGAAAGCGGGGGAUCGCAAGACCUCGCGCAGUUGGAGCGGCUGAUAUCAGAUUAGCUUGUUGGUGAGGUAAAAGCUCACCAAGGCGACGAUCUGUAGCUGGUUUGAGAGAACGACCAGCCACACUGGGACUGAGACACGGCCCAGACUCCUACGGGAGGCAGCAGUGGGGAAUUUUGGACAAUGGGCGAAAGCCUGAUCCAGCAAUGCCGCGUGCAGGAAGAAGGCCUUCGGGUUGUAAACUGCUUUUGUACGGAACGAAACGGUCCUUUUUAAUACAGAGGGCUAAUGACGGUACCGUAAGAAUAAGCACCGGCUAACUACGUGCCAGCAGCCGCGGUAAUACGUAGGGUGCGAGCGUUAAUCGGAAUUACUGGGCGUAAAGCGUGCGCAGGCGGUUAUAUAAGACAGUUGUGAAAUCCCCGGGCUCAACCUGGGAAUUGCAUCUGUGACUGUAUAGCUAGAGUACGGUAGAGGGGGAUGGAAUUCCGCGUGUAGCAGUGAAAUGCGUAGAUUAUGCGGAGGAACACCGAUGGCGAAGGCAAUCCCCCUGGACCUGUAACUGACGCUCAUGCACGAAAGCGUUGGGGAGCAAAACCCAGGAUUAGAUACCUGGUAGUUCCACGGCCUAAACCGAAUGUCACACUGGUAG